rnacentral:rRNA from 1 species
GUCCAUGCCUUAAACGAUGCAUACUAGGUGUAGGAGGGCUCAACCCCCUCUGUACCGGAGCUAACGCAUUAAGUAUGCCGCCUGGGGAGUACGCUCGCAAGGGUGAAACUCAAAAGAAUUGACGGGGGCCCGCACAAGCAGUGGAGCAUGUGGUUUAAUUCGAUGCAACGCGAAGAACCUUACCUGGGCUCGAAAUGUAGAGGACGACAUCAGAGAUGAUGUCUCCCGAAAGGGUCUUUACAUAGGUGCUGCAUGGCUGUCGU